rnacentral:rRNA from 1 species
GUGCAGCAGUCGAGAAACUUUACAAUGUGCGAAAGCACGAUAAGGGAACUCUGAGUGCCUCCUAAGGAGGCUGUUCAGGUGUCUAAAAGCACCUGAAGGAAGGGCUGGGUAAGACCGGUGCCAGCCGCCGCGGUAACACCGGCAGCCCAAGUGGUAGCCACGUUUAUUGGGUCUAAAGCGUCCGUAGCCGGCUGGGUAAGUUCCUUGGGAAAUUUGGCUGCUUAACAGUCAAGCUUUCAGGGAAUACUGCCCGGCUUGGGACCGGGAGAGGUCAGAGGUACUCCAGGGGUAGGGGUGAAAUCCAUUAAUCCUUGGAGGACCACCGGUAGCGAAGGCGUCUGACCAGACCGGGUCCGACGGUGAGGGACGAAGGCUAGGGGCGCGAACCGGAUUAGAUACCCGCGUAGU